GACGAACCACACAAACGUUAUUCGGAAUUACUGGGCUUAAAGGGUGCGUAGGCUGCGCAGAAAGUUGGGUGUGAAAUCCCUCGGCUCAGCCGAGGAACUGCGCCCAAUACUACUGUGCUCGAGGGAGACAGAGGUGAGCGGAACUUAGGGUGGAGCGGUGAAAUGCGUUGAUAUCCUAAGGAACACCCGUGGCGAAAGCGGCUCACUGGGUCUCUUCUGACGCUGAGGCACGAAAGCUAGGGUAGCGAACGGG
rnacentral:rRNA from 1 species